ACUCCUACGGGAGGCAGCAGUGGGGAAUAUUGCACAAUGGGCGCAAGCCUGAUGCAGCCAUGCCGCGUGUAUGAAGAAGGCCUUCGGGUUGUAAAGUACUUUCAGCAGUGAGGAAGGUGAGCGUUAAUAGCGGCCUCAUUUGACGUUUAGCUGCAGAGAAGCACCGGCUAACUCCGUGCCAGCAGCCGCGGUAAUACGGAGGGUGCGAGCGUUAAUCGGAAUUACUGGGCGUAAAGCGCAUGCAGGUGGUUUGUUAAGUCAGAUGUGAAAGCCCGGGGCUCAACCUCGGAAUAGCAUUUUGAAAACUGGCAGACUAGAGUACUUAGAGGGGGGUAGAAUUUCAGGUGUAGCGGUGAAAUGCGUAGAGAUCU
rnacentral:rRNA from 1 species